GCCGAGUUAGCUCAGUGGUAGAGCACGCCCAUGGUAAGGGCGGGGUCAUGAGUUCAAAUCUCAUACUCGGCUCCA
rnacentral:tRNA from 1 species